rnacentral:rRNA from 1 species
UACGUAGGGUGCAAGCGUUGUUCGGAUUUACUGGGCGUAAAGGGCGCGUAGGCGGCCAGCACAAGUCAGUUGUGAAAUCUCCGAGCUUAACUCGGAAAGGUCAACUGAUACUGUGCGGCUAGAGUGCGGAAGGGGCAACUGGAAUUCUCGGUGUAGCGGUGAAAUGCGUAGAUAUCGGGAGGAACAUCAGUGGCGAAGGCGGCCCUCUGGUCCAGUACUGACACUCAAGUGCGAAAGCGUGGGGAGCAAACAGG